rnacentral:rRNA from 1 species
CCUACGGGUGGCAGCAGUGAGGAAUAUUGGUUAAUGGACGAGAGUCUGAACCAGCCAAGUAGCGUGAAGGAUGACUGCCCUAUGGGUUGUAAACUUCUUUUAUAUGGGAAUAAAAUGUUCCACGUGUGGGAUUUUGUAUGUACCAUAUGAAUAAGGAUCGGCUAACUCCGUGCCAGCAGCCGCGGUAAUACGGAGGAUCCGAGCGUUAUCCGGAUUUAUUGGGUUUAAAGGGAGCGUAGGUGGAUUGUUAAGUCAGUUGUGAAAGUUUGCGGCUCAACCGUAAAAUUGCAGUUGAAACUGGCAGUCUUGAGUACAGUAGAGGUGGGCGGAAUUCGUGGUGUAGCGGUGAAAUGCUUAGAUAUCACGAAGAACUCCGAUUGCGAAGGCAGUUCACUGGACUGCAACUGACACUGAGGCUCGAAAGUGUGGGUAUCAAACAGGAUUAGAUACCCUAGUAGUC